CUGCACUUAGAAGGCUUGCCACAACUGGUAACAUGAUUACCACUACAUAACAGACUGCCUUACAGCAAAUGAAGGAAAAGAGGGCAGAUGCUAAGGAAUCAAUGCUACUUAGAAAUUGAUGCCAGGCAGUAUUAAACAAAAAGGCCUGAUAAAUGUGAAAGCUUUCAAAUUCAAAUUAACUUUGGGGCUAAACACUCAAAUGCUUUGCUAUUGACAUCAAAAUAUGAAUUCUCUACCCAAGUAAGAUGUCUUAAAUCCAGAACAAUCUCAAAAUUGUCUUCUCUGGAGUUCCUCUAGAUUUACAGAGAUCAAAAGCAACAGCAGAACUUCACUCCGUAUUUGUUCCUUUUCAGUCAAAGUUAGAAGGCUUGCCAAAUUUAUGCCUUGAUAUCUAUUUGGCACAUAUUUUAUCUCAAUUCAAAAGGUGAACUAGGGGAAAAAGAAGCUGCUAAAAGAGCCUGGUUUGCCCAGAACCAUGUCUGCCAGAGAUUGUACAUUAUAAAUUUGGUGGGGGGGAUGGGAGUAAUGUGCCAAAACAGCUUUAAACCUCUUUUGCCCCCUCACACAGCUGGACCUUUUAUCAUCAGGCUAGGUGACCCAAGGGAUACUCGGACUCAUGGUGGCCACCAGCAGUUGCCAGAAGUAGGACAUGACCUGUCUACAAGGGAACACCAGAGCCAACCACAAGAGUUUUUGUGCUGCUUUGCCAAAGCAGAUUAUAGCAGCCCAGCACAGAGAAGAAUCCACUUCCUAGAUCAUCACCAAGGAUAAGGAGUCUUAAUUCAGACAUUACUAAUUUACAGAGCUUGAGAAUUACAUUGUUAAAGUUUAAUGAAGCUGUGAAAGUGGCCAAACGCUCACAGCCAUGUCAUAUGUGCUUAUUCUCAAAUCUGUGUGAGCUCCUCAACAUCUGCAGUAGGUAGCAAAGCAAUAAUAAGGAGUUGGAAUGAGAGGCAUUGCAUAGGCAACUACCAAGCUGUGUAGAUCUCAUCCAGCUGUGUAACAGCUUUGUUUUAAAGUCAUCAAAAAGGGGGUUGUUUAAAAACAAACAAGCACAUCUGACAAACCCGAUCAACUUCCUGAAGGCCCCAUGAAACUGCCAGUGUAACCAUAUGAUGUAAAAGAGAAGCUGGCCCGGGUGCCAGUUUGCAAGUGAAGCUCAUAACUGUCAAAACUCCAAUAGAAGCACAUGCUGAGGAGAAGAGUGAAGAGGUUUGGGGUUUUGCUCUAGCAGUAGAGGAAAGGGCACUUUAUCACCUGCUGAUACAUACAGGUUAAAUAUAGUUUGGCCACUUCAGCUGCAAGAGAUGAAUCUGAGAGAAGCUAAUUGGAAGACAGGUGCCACUUAACAAUUCUGUUUUGAAGUUCUUGUGAAGCAGUGAUGCAAAAAAACAUCAGAUCUUUGUUCACAGGGGCAAGAAUUCAGUUACAUUCACAGACAUCUUAAGGAGCUGACAAGACUGACCAGGAGAUGGAACAGGAGAUGCUACAGAUGAGCAGCACAAAAAAUUUAUGUUCCUCAAGGAGAAUUAUCUAAUAGGUAAAAUACAUCUGGGUUCUGCUAUGAUUUUGCUUUAGUAAAUGCAUUUAGAACUGCUGUAGUCACUCAAAACAAUUUUCAGGAACCAGUUUUCCAUCAAAAAAUGUUAUUUGUCAAAAUCAACCCAUUCAACAGGAAAAGAUACAUACUAGUGCUUCUGACAUAAUUUUUCUUACAAAAGUCCCAGUAAGGAAUAAAGCAAUUCAAAAUGCUGGCA
rnacentral:lncRNA from 1 species